rnacentral:lncRNA from 1 species
AUGGUAGCAGAUGUAAGGAUUAAACAAGUGAUGAAGCCACGAGCAAACUUCAGGUGUGUAAAAGAUUCAGUGAAUGCUGCUGCUGAGUGUCAUCCAACGGAAAGCCAGGCUUUUACAAAAGUGAAGCUGUGUCCUCGUCUACUUUGUUCACAUGUUUUCACACCGUGUGGCGUCUGGGUCUUCCCCAAAGUCAAAAUAUCCAUGGAAGACGUUCCAGAGACAUCGUCCUGUUAAACAGCCCAUAUGGUUUCACUGCUGGGGUGAAAAAGAACAACACGAAAUGGGGUAAAUGGGGGAGACAGGAAAGACUUGAGCAGAAGUGAUUUAACCUUGGCUGAUAUUUACAUUGAAGAGAAAGAGGCAAGAGACAAUAUUGCCCCUCAGAGGAGGUAUACUCAGAGACAUUUUCAGUGCCUAACAAUUCUUGAAGAUGAGAUUGAACUUGUGACCACCCAGAGGAUGAGGAUGAAUAAAAGCAAGAAGAAACUGUCUGGUGCAGCUGCACCUUUCCCCACUUGUGUCCAGCAGUGAUAAAUGGAUAACGUUUCAUCCAAGGAGCUCAUCUCUCAUUUCAGCUGGAGCAGAAAUGAUUUCCUUUGAAACAGCCCACUUCCAAGUCCAGAUGGACAGAAGCGCAGUUCUAGCGCGGGCCACUGCCUGGAGGGAAGGCAGCUACGGCCCUGGGGGUGGCAUUGCAGCUUCCCCGACUUUGCCGUCUCAGAGGAGCCAAGUCACAUUUCUGGGCCCAUUAUUUCCCGCCCUUGAGAAAUGGUAGGAUUUGAGUAUAAUUAAGAUCAUUUACACCCCCCAACCCUUAAAAGAGCCAAACCUCAGAAUCUGUAGUCACCUGAUGCGUCUUUUGCAUCCACCUCCUUGUUCUGCUUGCUUUCUCCUUUGUCGUAUUUUUAUUUGCGAUUGCC